rnacentral:piRNA from 1 species
UAGGCAGACCAAGGAGUUCAUCUUCUCAGAGC